AAUUUGGAGAAUUUCAAAUGACAAUUAAAAAGUGAAAAUUUAGUUCUCGUGAGUUUAACUCAAUUGAUAAGAAUUCACAUUAUAUAUAAUAUAGGGAUCGAGGUUCGAAUCCCGGAUUACCGGAUGAAAUUUUCAGCCAUUAGACAACUUGAAAAACAAAAGAAAAAAAGGUAGAAAAAUUUAAAGUUCUAGGUAUAAUGAAGCUAUUGCAAGUUAUCUGUUUUGCUAUGAAAUUUCAAGCACAAACUCUAACUAUAAUUUCUAAUGUGCUUUGGCCUUAGUCUUAUCUAGU
rnacentral:lncRNA from 1 species